UACGAAGGGGGCUAGCGUUGCUCGGAAUGACUGGGCGUAAAGGGCGCGUAGGCGGAUGGCACAGUCAGAUGUGAAAUUCCCGGGCUUAACCUGGGGGCUGCAUUUGAUACGUGUUGUCUAGAGUGAGGAAGAGGGUCGUGGAAUUCCCAGUGUAGAGGUGAAAAUUCGUAGAUAUUGGGAAGAACACCGGUGGCGAAGGCGGCGACCUGGUCCUUGACUGACGCUGAGGCGCGAAAGCGUGGGGAGCAAACAGG
rnacentral:rRNA from 1 species